rnacentral:telomerase_RNA from 1 species
ACUAGUGACGUUGCGGUGUGGAGAAAGAAACUAUAACCUAACCUAAUUUUUCACCUUUUAACCCUUUCCACCGGGAGCUCUCGCCGGUACCCCAAUAGAGAGUUUGAUUACCGCAACGUCUUUAAUUUUGUUU